GACGAACGCUGGCGGCGUGCUUAACACAUGCACGUCGAACGGAAAGGCCCUGCUUUUGUGGGGUGCUCGAAUGGCGAACGGGUGAGUAACCCGUGAGUAACCUGCCCUUGACUUUGGAAUAACUUCAGGAAACUGGUGCUAAUACCGGAUAGGAGCUCCUCAUGCAUGGUGGGGGUUGGAAAGUUUCGGCGGUUGGGGAUGGACUCGCGGCUUAUCAGCUUGUUGGUGGGGUAGUGGCUUACCAAGGCUUUGACGGGUAGCUGGCCUGAGAGGGUGACCGGCCACAUUGGGACUGAGAUACGGCCCAGACUCCUACGGGAGGCAGCAGUGGGGAAUAUUGCACAAUGGGCGGAAGCCUGAUGCAGCAACGCCGCGUGCGGGAUGACGGCCUUCGGGUUGUAAACCGCUUUCGCCUGUGACGAAGCGUGAGUGACGGUAAUGGGUAAAGAAGCACCGGCUAACUAGGUG
rnacentral:rRNA from 1 species